UGCUCUCCACACCUUAACAUAUCCAUCCAUCUCAACCAUAAUACCUAAUUUCAUUUGAGAUUUGUUUUUCUGAAACAGAAAAGCUUCUCUUUUAUCACUCUCUCGACGGCGACUAAAAAUCCACCCAUCUCAACUGCCAACUUCUCUAUUUCUCGACGACAGUGACUGAGUCUUCCUCCCAUUUACAGAUUGCUCAGCUCUCCUCUCUUGAUAGUGAUGUCUUGAUGCAAACUGCACGCACCAUCUUCGAUCUCAUCUUAGCCCAGGUAUUUCUUGUCAAAAUUUCGUGAACUUUAUUUGAUUAGAGGGAGUAUGCUGAGCGAAGGACUACCAAGAAUGACUCAUAGUGGUCCCAACAAUGCUUCUCAGGGUGCCUUGAGUGUGCAUGACGGGUUCUCUUUUGGGCUAUUACUUAACCUGCUCGUGUUCUUGUGCAGGGUGCCUUGAGUUUAUAUUUAUUUUUCUGUUUGUCGUUCUCUGUUGUUUUGCUGGCCUUUGGUGUCAUUGGCUGAUGCUUUAAUGAAGCAAGCUUGAAUGACCAAAAAAAUAAAAAAAAAUAUAGCUAGAAAUAUGAAGAAGAAACAAUUUUUGUUUGGGGAAUGAUUAGAGAUUGUUUUAGUUGGUUUUGGAAUCUCUGAAUUUUGGAUUGUUUGAUUUUGGAGAUUUUUAUAUUUUUUAUAUUUUUUUACAAGUAUAUGGUGCAUAUGCUUAUAUAUGCCCAUAUCUAUCACAUAUAAUUUGGUUGUGUUUAUAUAAUCUUCAAAGAGGUUUUACCUGAAAUUGGAAAUGGUUUCUGCACAAGGUAUUGAGCAA